rnacentral:rRNA from 1 species
CACCAGCCCCUCGAGUGGUGGGGAUGAUUAUUUGGCCUAAAGCGUCCGUAGCCGGCCGGGUAAGUUUCCCGUUAAAUCCAGCGUCUCAAGCGUUGGACUGCGGGAAAUACUGCCUGGCUGGAGAGUGGGAGAGGUCAGCGGUAUUCUGGGGGUAGGGGCGAAAUCCUUUGAUCCCCGGAGGACCACCAGUGGCGAAGGCUGCUGACUAGAACACGUCUGACGGUCAGGGACGAAAGCUGGGGUAGCGAACCGGAUUAGAUACCCGGGUAGUCCCAGCCGUAAACGAUGCAUGCUAGGUGUUGGGUUGGCCACGAGCCACCCCAGUGCCGCAGGGAAGCCGUUAAGCAUGCCGCCUGGGAAGUACGAUCGCAAGAUUGAAACUUAAAGGAAUUGGCGGGGAAGCACCACCAGGCGUGAAGCCUGCGGUUU